UACGUAGGGCGCAAGCGUUGUCCGGAAUUAUUGGGCGUAAAGAGCUCGUAGGCGGUUUGUCGCGUCUGCCGUGAAGGUCCGGGGCUCAACUCCGGAUCUGCGGUGGGUACGGGCAGACUAGAGUGAUGUAGGGGAGACUGGAAUUCCUGGUGUAGCGGUGAAAUGCGCAGAUAUCAGGAGGAACACCGAUGGCGAAGGCAGGUCUCUGGGCAUUAACUGACGCUGAGGAGCGAAAGCAUGGGGAGCGAACAGG
rnacentral:rRNA from 1 species